GCCCGGCUAGCUCAGUAGUAGAGCAUGAGACUCUUAAUCUCAGGGUCGUGGGUUCGAGCCCACGUUGGGCG
rnacentral:tRNA from 1 species